rfam:Oryza sativa Japonica Group DNA, chromosome 3, cultivar: Nipponbare, complete sequence.
AAUAAGUGUAGUUUUGCACUAUUCACGUUCAACGUUUGACCGUUCGUCUUAUUUGAAAUUUUUUUAUGAUUAGUAUUUUUAUUACUAUUAGAUGAUAAAACAUGAAUAGUACUUUAUGUGUGACUAAAUAUUUUCAAAUUUUUCACAAAUUUUUCAAAUAUAAGACAGACGGUCAAACGUUGGGCACGGAUAUCCACGGCUGCACUUAUU